AAUCACUACUCACGGCACACACUGACACGU
rnacentral:sRNA from 1 species